rnacentral:snoRNA from 1 species
AACCUAUGGUGUAGGCAUCUCUAAAUUAAAGUUUCAAAAUGCUCAUAGGCUUCGUGAAAACUUUCUCCUUCCAAUUGUUUAAAUGUUGCAAUCUCUCUCCUUAGUU